rnacentral:rRNA from 1 species
GAUGAACGCUGGCGGCGUGCCUAAUACAUGCAAGUCGAGCGAACAGAUGAGGAGCUUGCUCCUCUGACGUUAGCGGCGGACGGGUGAGUAACACGUGGAUAACCUACCUAUAAGACUGGGAUAACUUCGGGAAACCGGAGCUAAUACCGGAUAAUAUAUUGAACCGCAUGGUUCAAUAGUGAAAGACGGUUUUGCUGUCACUUAUAGAUGGAUCCGCGCCGCAUUAGCUAGUUGGUAAGGUAACGGCUUACCAAGGCAACGAUGCGUAGCCGACCUGAGAGGGUGAUCGGCCACACUGGAGCUGAGACACGGUCCAGACUCCUACGGGAGGCAGCAGUAGGGAAUCUUCCGCAAAGGGCGAAAGCCUGACGGAGCAACGCCGCGUGAGUGAUGAAGGUCUUCGGAUCGUAAAACUCUGUUAUUAGUGAAGAACAAAUGUGUAAGUAACUAUGCACGUCUUGACGGUACCUAAUCAGAAAGCCACGGCUAACUACGUG